rnacentral:rRNA from 1 species
GACGAACGCUGGCGGCGUGCCUAAUACAUGCAAGUCGAACGCAGUGGGGACGGGUGAGUAACACGUGGGUAACCUCCCAUCAGAGGGGAUAACACUUGGAAACAGGUGCUAAACCGAUAUUGAUGGCUGGACCCGCGGUGCAUUAGCUAGUUGGUGAGGUAACGGCUCACCAAGGCCACGAUGCAUAGGCGACGUGGGAGGGGGAGAAGCCACAACUGGACUGAGCCACGGCCCAGACUACUACGGGACGCAGCAGUAGGGAAUCUGCGGCAAUGGACGAAAGGCUGACCGGGCAACGCCGCGUGGGGGAAGGAGGUUUUCGGAUCGUAAAACUCUGUUGUUAGAGUAGCGGUAUCUAACCAGAAAGCCACGGCUAACUACGUGCCAGCAGCCGCGGUAAUUC